rnacentral:rRNA from 1 species
CAUGAAGCUGGAAUCGCUAGUAAUCGCAGAUCAGAAUGCUGCGGUGAAUACGUUCCCGGGCCUUGUACACACCGCCCGUCACACCAUGGAAGUCUGCAAUGCCCGAAGCCGGUGGCCUAACCACUUAUGUGGAAGGAGCCGUCUAAGGCAGGGCAGAUGACUGGGGUGAAGUCGUAACAAGGUAAC